rnacentral:rRNA from 1 species
GGGAAUAUUGCACAAUGGGGGAAACCCUGAUGCAGCGACGCCGCGUGAAGGAAGAAGUAUUUCGGUAUGUAAACUUCUAUCAGCAGGGAAGAAAAUGACGGUACCUGACUAAGAAGCCCCGGCUAACUACGUGCCAGCAGCCGCGGUAAUACGUAGGGGGCAAGCGUUAUCCGGAUUUACUGGGUGUAAAGGGAGCGUAGGCGGUUUAGCAAGUCAGAAGUGAAAGCCCGGGGCUCAACUCCGGGACUGCUUUUGAAACUGUUGAACUAGAUUGCAGGAGAGGUAAGUGGAAUUCCUAGUGUAGCGGUGAAAUGCGUAGAUAUUAGGAGGAACACCAGUGGCGAAGGCGGCUUACUGGACUGUAAAUGACGCUGAGGCUCGAAAGCGUGGGGAGCAAACAGGA